rnacentral:snRNA from 1 species
UAGUGUCACAGCUCUUUUAGAAUUUGUCUAGCAGGUUUUUCUUCCCUC